ACCACUGUGGUGUAGUGGAUUGAGUAUUGGACUAUGAAUUGAAAGACCAAAGUUCAAUUCCUUGCUUGGUC